CACUGGCCCACGCACCACCUGGCACCGCUGGCCCACGCACCACCUGGCACCGCUGGCCCACGCACCACCUGGCACCGCUGGCCCACGCAUCCACUCAACUAUACCGGCAGUCUAACGCAAUUGAAUUUUCUAUAAGAGAACCGGAGCCGACUGCAUUACUUUCAAAUUACCAAAUCAUUUUGGGCUUUUGUUAAUUUGGAUCUGUGAUGUUACUUUGGUCCUCUCACUUUAUGCUCUGUUCAUGUUAUUUUUGAACAAGUUACGUCAUUCUUUGUUCACUAUUUUGUUCUGGCCAUAAUAUUCGAGUCUUCACUUUUACAAUUUUCAUUCGCCGAGGCAAGGCUUGAGCUCCUGGUCUCCGAAUUGAAUCCCACAAUUAUGAUACUAUAUAUAUAUUUAUAAAUGUACUUUUUUAUUUUAAUACCUGUGCAAAUAUUGACAGACCUGGUCAUGCUGGGUCAAUAGAGGGUCAUUAUUAUUGGCUCAGCAUUAUGGUUACCAUGGUAACCGCCCAUUCGAGUUUGAAUGAAUUCUCUCAUUCGAAUUGAGUAACUGUUGUGUGUGUAUUUACAUGUGCUUUGAAUAUAUAUUUAUUUACGUAUGUGGCGACAAGGGAAAGUUGACUGUCAAAGAGACAGCAAGAGGGGGGGGGGGGAGGUGUUCAGUUCGCGAACUUAGACGACAGCAUUUCUAGUGUUUAUAUAUUUAAUGGUGAGGAUGGGGGGUUGUGUGGGAAGUUUAGUGACUGUUGGAACGUAGUGACCUAUGUGGUGACCUACACAGUGACCACACCCAUUGUGGCCACACCCGUGGUGACCUACACGGAGACCACACCCGUGGUGACCUACACAGAGACCACACCCGUGGUGACCUACACAGAGACCACAUCCAUCAUUAAGGUCUAUACAAUGUGCGAGUGUUCACCCCUCGUCGCCAAGGACGCAGGGAAGUUGAUGUUGAUGAUGAUUUAAGGUCGACGACGAUCGUGGGGUGAGAUGCGCCCCGGCGUACCCAUGAGGGGUUAAUCGCGAAGCCAAGUGGCAGAUGACUGGUGAGCCCCGGGAGUCUCUCAGGGGGACAAGCGCCGGCCCCGGCCCACAAAGAGAACACAGGCUAGCAAAACUAAAUACUCAGCCCUCCAACUAAGAGAUGCAAUCGGACGCAAAAGUCAUCCGGUGCCCUCCGGCAAAGCAGAAGCCAGCCGCCCACCACCCUAAUGGCACACCAGGAGCCCACCAAGACCCGCCAACAAUCCUGUGAUCCAAGCCGACAUGUGCGUCUGGCGUUGUACAAACCGGACCGUUGAAUAGGGACUGCAAACGGCAGUAUCAAACCCAAAAUCGCAAAACAGAACGCAAUCCGGCGGCCACCCGGCGGAGGAGCUGUCCAGACGUCCGCUCGUCGUCAAGGCUGAACCAGGAGUCGGACGGAGGGAAGGGGGUCACUAUACGGGUUUGUUGUGGUUCCCCCCCCCCCCCCCCGAGUGUGUUUACCUGAGCAGCUUCUCGCGGCCGCCGCCAGAGUGCUCCCUUAGUCGCCCACUCACCACGUGGUUUUAUUUACAUGUCAUUCAGGAUGUUUAUGUGUGAAGCACAAGAGUAAACAACAACACUUAUCAAUGUUACAUUCCACGGCCACUCACAAGCUCUACGUCUAAGGAAAGGCAAAAAAAUAAAUAACACUUCAAUAAACAAAUAGAUAUUUACGUUAGGUGUAUACUUUUGUAUGUCAAAUAUGUUAUUAAGUUUAAAAUUUGGGUGUUUGAAGAUGUAUUAAUUUGAAACACGAAGUGGUUUAAGCAGUGAACUCAAUCAAGCGACUUCACUGUUAAUUAGCUUGAUCGACGAUUGAUCGACUUCACUAGGGUGAAGGUGGGUAGGGGUAACGACCGUUAUUGUAGUGAGGGUGCAGAGGCUUACCAGCAGACUAGUCCCAGAACCGACAGUUUUGGGCUACAAGGAAAGACUCAAGGAAUUAAACCUGUAAUUGGACAGAUAUGGACAGAUUUUUAUGAUAAGCCACAGACACAUUACAAAGAUUUUUUCGGUGUUAUAAUAUUAAAGAAAUGGAAUGCACUAAGAAGAGUUACAGGCAGAGACAAUACUCAGUUUCAAAUGUAAAUAUGACAGAACUAAAUAGGCUCUAGAUUAAAGGUUGAGAGGCGGGACCAAAGAGCUAAAGCUCAACCCCCGCAAGUAUAAUUAUGUGGGAAAAAAAUACACAAUACAUGGGAAUGUUUGCACCAGGUGUCUCAACACUUCUCUAAGACCCAAAAACAGUCUAAGAGUUAAUUCUUCUUCUUUAAAUACAAAACUAUUUUUGUAAAUUAUGUAUAAUUUCUUUAUAUGGUUGACAAUUUAUAUGUAUAAUUUCUUUAAAAAGUUGAGAGUUGCAAAUUACCGACUUUAGGAAAUCUUUAUGUAUAAUUAUUUUGAUAAUACAAUAGGAGAAUACACUAAAAAGAUGCUCUAAGCAACAGUCUCCAUAUUGUAUUAGGCUUACCUCGCGCUCUGCACUUCCACAGGGACACCGGAUAUUCAACCAAUAAUUUCAUCAAUAACACAUAAGUUUCUUUGGUUUUUUAUGUUGUGUAAUUGUUCCUCCUAAGUCCUCAGGUGAGCCCCUAGACAACACUUACGGUGCCAUACUGAACUGUGGCAAUUUAUUUCAACUGAAUAUCAGCUCCAGCAACCCCGUGUAGAACUGGAUGUUUAUAUAUGUCGAUUUUUGUAAAUUCCUAUAAUGUGAUUCAGACUGGAAUUGCCAUGAUAUAUGUAUAUUUUGUUUAAUAAAAUAGUAUCCAAU